rnacentral:rRNA from 1 species
AUUGAACGCUGGCGGCAUGCCUUACACAUGCAAGUCGAACGGCAGCGGGGGAGAAGCUUGCUUUUCCUGCCGGCGAGUGGCGAACGGGUGAGUAAUACAUCGGAACGUGCCCUGUAGUGGGGGAUAACUAGUCGAAAGAUUAGCUAAUACCGCAUACAACCUGAGGGUGAAAGUGGGGGACCGCAAGGCCUCAUGCUAUAGGAGCGGCCGAUGUCUGAUUAGCUAGUGGUGGGGUAAAGGCCUACCAAGGCGACGAUCAGUAGCUGGUCUGAGAGGACGAUCAGCCACACUGGGACUGAGACACGGCCCAGACUCCUACGGGAGGCAGCAGUGGGGAAUUUUGGACAAUGGGCGAAAGCCUGAUCCAGCAAUGCCGCGUGUGUGAAGAAGGCCUUCGGGUUGUAAAGCACUUUUGUCCGGAAAGAAAUGGCUCUGGUUAAUACCUGGGGUCGAUGACGGUACCGGAAGAAUAAGGACCGGCUAACUACGUGCCAGCCGCCGCAGUAAAAC